rnacentral:rRNA from 1 species
UACGGAGGGUGCAAGCGUUGUCCGGAAUCACUGGGCGUAAAGGGCGCGUAGGCGGCUCAUGAAGGCUGUGGUGAAAGUCCGGGGCUCAACCCUCGGAUCGGCCCGUGGCGACUCGUGGGCUGGGAGCACUGUAGAGGCGGGUGGAAUUCCGGGUGUAGCGGUGGGAAUGCGUAGAGAUCCGGAAGAACACCAGUGGCGAAGGCGGCCCGCUGGGCAGUGGCUGACGGCUGAGGCGCGACAGCGUGGGGAGCAAACGAGGG